UACGUAGGGGGCAAGCGUUGUCCGGAAUCAUUGGGCGUAAAGGGCGCGUAGGCGGUCCGGUAAGUCCGCUCUGAAAGUCCGGGGCUCAACCCCGGGAGGCGGGCGGAUACUGUCGGGCUAGAGUCCGGAAGAGGCGAGUGGAAUUCCUGGUGUAGCGGUGAAAUGCGCAGAUAUCAGGAGGAACACCAAUGGCGAAGGCAGCUCGCUGGGACGGUACUGACGCUGAGGCGCGAAAGCGUGGGGAGCAAACAGG
rnacentral:rRNA from 1 species